rnacentral:rRNA from 1 species
GGAUCAUUACCGAGUGCAGGUCUGCCCCCGGGCAGGCCUAACCUCCCACCCGUGAAUACCUGACCAACGUUGCUUCGGCGGUGCGCCCCCCCGGGGGUAGCCGCCGGAGACCACAUUGAACCUCUUGUCUUUAGUGUUGUCUGAGCUUGAUAGCAAACCUAUUAAAACUUUCAACAAUGGAUCUCUUGGUUCCGGCAUCGAUGAAGAACGCAGCGAACUGCGAUAAGUAAUGUGAAUUGCAGAAUUCAGUGAAUCAUCGAGUCUUUGAACGCACAUUGCGCCCCCUGGCAUUCCGGGGGGCAUGCCUGUCCGAGCGUCAUUGCUGCCCUUCAAGCCCGGCUUGUGUGUUGGGUCGUCGUCCCCCCUGGGGGACGGGCCCGAAAGGCAGCGGCGGCACCGCGUCCGGUCCUCGAGCGUAUGGGGCUUUGUCACCCGCUCGAUUAGGGCCGGCCGGGCGCCAGCCGGCGUCUCCAACCUUCUAUUUUACCAGGUUGACCUCGGAUCAGGUAGGGAUACCCGCUGAACUUAAGCAUAUCAA